rnacentral:tRNA from 1 species
CAGAGAGUAGUUUAACUAAAAUACUAGCUUUGGGAGUUGGUGAUAAGAGGGGUCUCUUUUCUCUGA